CCCACCCCUGGCUCCCAAAGCCAGAAUUCUAAAUUAAACUAUCUUCUGA
rnacentral:tRNA from 1 species